UUAAAAAAUAAUAUGUAAAAUAUUUUUGAAGAUCAAAAAUAAAUUUUAAUUUAGAUUUUACAUAUUAAAAAUAAUUUUAAUAUAAUUUAUAAGUCAAGAUAUAUAUUAAAUUAAUGAAAUUUUUAAAUAAUAAAAUAUAUCAAAUUUUAAACGUAAAUAUAUUUGACUCUUUUGAUAUUAUUUAAUAUUUAAAAAUCAAAUAUAAAAAUAAUUAUAUAAUUUUUCAUUCCGUUUCCGGAUCAAAACCAAACAGGUAAUAUAAUUCAGCAUCAUUC
rnacentral:lncRNA from 1 species